GCCGGCGCGCGCGCAGCCACACCGGCUACACUUCCAGUAUUAUUUAUACGCGGGGACGGCAACAAAUCAAUGCAUUUGUCAAAAUCAAUGCGAUUGUUCCGGCUUCUGAAGUAAGUGAAAUUAUUGAGCAACUCGUAAAAUGCACGAUAAACUAUUUUAGGAUCACACACCAAGAUAUGAACAGAAAUAGCUAAGCUGUCAUUGUGCGUUUCUGGGAUAAGUCUUUUGAAGCUUGGGCUACUUGCAAGGAUGUGACAAAUUCACCUAGGACUCUCAGCUACAUCAAAAGGACCGAUAGAAAGAAGAAAGAAAGAAAAUCAGUUUAAUUGCGCAAAAUAUAAGACGCAUAAAUGCCCCUAACAAGAUGAGCAUAAUAUGGAUAAAAAGAUAAAAAGAACAUAACACAAAUUUAAGGGAAAAUAUGCGUCCUAAAGCGCGCAAUACGGCCCUCGCUCAGCAUAAUGCUGCGACCCGAAACGAGAUAGAGUCCCAGCGCUGGUUUUCAGCGAUAGCCGGUGCUACCGCGAUGACGUCAACCGGUGGAACUAAUGUAUAAAAUAAAUAAAUAAAAAAAUACCUACUUAACUUUGCAUGAAUAUUGUGAUUUGUGUUGUGAUGUGAACAAAUGUGAACUUGUGUAGUGGGUGGAUGCAUAGUGUGUUUUCGGAAGAGGAGAUUGACAGUGUAAUAUUUGACCACAGAUAAUACAUAUAAUACGGGUUUGACCAUAGUAAUAUAGGUUUUGACAAUGACAGAUGACAGCAAGUGAAAAGUCAACAAGAAGAAAAAAAAAACAAUUAAAUAGUAUAAUAUCAACAAUGAACAACAUUUGGAAAUUAAUAUAAAUUAUAUUCGUAUAAGUGGGUUGGAAGUAUUAUACAAUAAUUAUAACCUGGAGAAAUUCUCAUAAUUUGAGAAGGUGAGAAGCAGAGGAAGAACAUCAAGCCCAGACACAGCUUAACUCCAAUAGAAGAUUGGAUUUCAAAGCAGCCCACACUGAAGGAGAUUCCUGAACCAGAGCAAGUAUGCCAUGACCCAUGAGGCAUCGCAAUGGUGGAGGGAGGUCAUUCCAACAGUGUGUGGCCGCAAACUUGAAAGACCCUCUGAAAGCUGUAGUACGAUGUAUCGGAACAACAAGAGGACAAACAAUGGACCGAAUACCAUGCUUUAGCUGGUUAUGUUUCCAUGUUAGCUUUUUGUAGAGAUAAUUCGGUUUUUCCGUUCUAAUUGUGCCGAACAGUAAACUAGCCAAAUGUAUACAUGUAGCAUAGCAUGUUAACGACUGGAUCUAAAUAUAAUAAAGCAAUUCGUCUCAAGGAAAUUCCAGUGGCUCUCAGUUUGGAGGCACAGUUGUCAGCAACUCAGGGAGACGACGAUCAAUCACGGAUUCUGUGGCGAGAAAAAAUCUAAUUUCGUGCUCCAUUCCCGCCAAAUUUUACCGCACCCAAGCCGCAUCCGGCAGCAAUACGAUGCGCCUGAAUCUCUUGACUUAAGACUUCCGGCUCCACAUUCUAUUCCUUCACAUUUUACUAUAAGUUUACGAUUGUCGUUAGACAUUGCAACUAUGUCUUUGAUCCGUUUGAAUAGAAAGAUCCAUAAAGUUUAA
rnacentral:lncRNA from 1 species